GAAAUAUAAUAUGAACCACAAAUGCCAGUCACAUGCAUGAUUUUAUAACAGCCAUAUUUUUAAAAGCUAAAAGAAACAGGUGAAAUUAACUUUAAUGGUAUAUUUUAUUAAACCAAUAAAUCCAAAUUAGUAUCAUUUCAACAAGCAAUCUAUAAAAAUUGUUAAUGAGCUAUGUGCCAAUCUAUUUUUUUCUUACAAUUCUUUAAACUUUGGUAUGUAUUUUAUCCUUGCAACAUGUUUCAACAUGGAUUAGCCACAUUUUAAGUGCUCAUUAGCUAUGCAUAGCUAGUGGCUGCUGUAUUGUAUUGUGCAGAGAGAGAAAAGGAGGAAGUAAUAUUGUAUACAAGGUUGUAACAUGUGAAAUAAGACUCCGUACGCUUAUUUUUUUAUUUUAUUUUUUUUUGGUUCUUAGGGCCGCAACCACGUUAUAUGGAGGUUCCCAGGCCAGGGGUCUAAUCAGAGUGAGCUACAGCUGCCAGCUACACCACAGCUACAGCAACACCAGAUCUGAGCCGCAUCUGUGACCAACACCACAGCUCAGGGCAACGCUGGAUCCCUAACCUGCUAAGCGAGGCCAGGGAUUGAAUCCGCAACCUCAUGGUUCCUAGUGGGUUUCGUUUCCACUGCACCACGACAGGAACUCCAGGCUCCCUACACUUUUAAUCCGUAAUCCUCCAUCUUCAUCUUCAAAGACAAACACAGCAUUUUAAUGUAUUUUUCAAAGUUAUUCUAUACUCAGAUAUAUUUUUCCUCAUUUUCAAAAGCACAAAUAAAGGCACACUAUACACACUUCUGUAUUCAGUGGGUUUAUUUUUUUCCACUAUAACCUGGAGGCUCUUCCUCAGUAAUAUAAGUGUUGUGUGUAUGUGUGUGUGUGUGUGUGUGUAUGUGUGUGCAAGUAUGCAUGUACCUGUGUGUAUGUUCAGUUAAAUUCAACAAAUACUUAUUGACAACCUACUAUGUGGCACACACUUUGCUAGGCACUUGGGUUCCAUCAGUGAACAAAACUGAUAAACACCUCUUCUUUUGGAUGUUACAUUUUAUUUAUUUAUUUUUAAUUUUUUUUAUUAAUUUUUUAUUACUCAAAUGAAUUUAUCACAUCUGUAGUUGUAUAAUUUUAGAAGAGAGAGAAAGACAAUAAACACCUAAGUAAGUAAACUAUAUAGCAUGUUAGAAGGUAAUAAGUACUAUGGAAAAAAAAGAAAAAUCCUGAGGGGCAGGAAUUUCCAUUUCAAAUGGGGUGCCUGGGGGAGCCCUCAUUUAAUAAGGGGAGGUUUGCUCUAUGUCUUGAAGGAGGUGAGGGGGUCAUCCAUAGAUACAUCUAGGGGAGCAUGUUCCAAGCAGGGGAAGCACAAUGCAAAGGAAAAAUGGAGGGCUCCUGGCAUGUUUUAAUUUUUUUUUUAAUUGAAGUAGAGUUGAUUUACAAUAUUGUGUUAAUUUCAGAUGUACAGCAAAGAUUAUUAGAGAAUAUUGAGUAGAGUUCCCUGUGCUGUACAGUAGGUCCUUGUCCGCUGUCUAUUUUAUACAUAGUAGUGUGUAUAUGUUAACCCUAAACUCCCAGUUUGUCCUUCUGCUCCUUUCCCUUUUGGUAACCGUAAGUUUGUUUUCUAUGUCUCUGGUCUAUUUCUGUUUUGUAAAUAAGUUCAUUUGUGUAGGUUUCCAUUACAUUCCACGUAUAAGCGAUAUCAUAUGGUGUUUGUCUUUUUCUGUCUGGCUUCUUCACCAAGUGUGAUCAUCUCUCUGUCCAUCCAUGUUGCAGCACAUGGCAGUAUUUCAUGCUUUUUUAUGGCUGGAUAAUAUUCCAUUGCAUCUAUGUACCAUGUUGUCUGUAUCCGUUCCUCUGUUAAUGGACAUUUCGGUUGCUUCCGCAUCUUGGCUAUUGUAAAUAAUGCUGCUGUGAACUUUGGGGUGCAUGUAUCGCUUUGUGAGGAUCCAUGAGAAGGCCAGUGUACUAGAGUGAAGUGAUUGGAAAGGGCAGUGGGUCUUGCUUCUUGGAGGGGCUCCUGUAACCCCUGGAACUCUUGCUCUGAGAGGAAGGAGACCUGCAACAUUCUCAUGGGCAUCCAUAAAGCAUUCUCAUGUGUGGAGGUACCAUAUACCUGUCUCCUAUUGAGAGGGGUCACUUGGCUUGUUUCUCACCUGUUUGCUAGUCUAAACAAUGACAUAGUAUAUGUCCUUGAAUCUUCAUGGGUUUGUGCGUGCGUGUCAACUUUCACGUAGAACAAAUUCCUAGUAAUGAAAUAACGCAUUGAGGAGAUGCUUAUUUUUAAUUUUCCUAGAUAUUGCCAAAUUGCUCUCGAAAGAAGUUGUACAAAUUUAUACUCCCAUCCACAAUGUAGGAGAGUGCUUGUUUUCCUGUUACCACUGUAGCAGUAAAUCAACAAUUUUAAUUUUGCCAAUUCUGUGAGAAAAAGUGUUCUCUUACUGGCAUAAUUCUGGGGUGAUUCUUCCUCCACUCUCAAUCAUAUACUAAUGUGGACUCUAUCCUGCUCCUCUUCCUUUUUUCAGGGCCCCAACUGCUUUGCAGUUUACAUCUGUUAUGGCACGUAUUGCUUUGUAUAUUAAUUGCUGAUGUCCUCGUGUCCCAAUUUGUUAUAAGCGUCCCAAGAGCCAGGCUACCCUCUUAAUUUUUAUGCCUUCCCCCCAUGCCUCAAACUUUGCUUAAUGCACAAGUUAGUAUGUCUUUGUUGACUAAUGAAUAAAUGACUUGAUUCUCUUUGCAUUAUGCUGUAUCAUCUUAUACUUGUGUUAUUAAUGAUAAUUAAAAUGACAGCAGUAACUAUCACUGAGACACUUGGAUUUAUUGGAUGACAUGUUUCUGACUGCUAGCUCAGAAAAUUAUGUAUUCCAUCUGCAGUAUCCAGGAUGGGAAGAGUCAAUAUGUUGCCUUAUUUCUAAUCCCCAAAGGAAGCGUUUCUUUAAAGAUGCAAAAACCUGAGUGGGGCUGAAUUGGCUACCCGUGGAGAUGAUAGUAUAUACAGUUCAAUCAGGUUUUGUUCACUUUGCCUGCUUCUCACUGGUUUGUUGUCUGGAAAUGGAGCAGCAAUUCUGGUUUGUAGCCUUGGGCAUCUGGCUUCUUAGGUCAUGAGGCCAGUGGCUAAACCAUCACUUAGUUUUGAGAAUCUUGGAAAUGUGAUUUGAAAUGGAUUUGGGCAGAAGAGUGUGUGCAGGCGCUAAGGAAGAUGAGCCACAUUUGCUGGGCUGGGUUCCCCGGUUCACUUGGGUCCCUGGAGAGAAUAAUCGAUGUUCCAUUUUGGAAAUGUUAAUAUCGACUCUGUUUCCUCCAUGCACAUAAGCCUAUGAAGGGUUCUGAGAAGCCUGGCGGUAAAGAAAACUCUUUCUCCCAGUGUUUCUCAAAUCAAUUUCACCACAGGAAAAAUUUUUUUUUUCUGAUAUCACAGGGUAUCAGUUUUCCAUAGACUAGAGU
rnacentral:lncRNA from 1 species